AGCCAUCUUGUUGCUUACUGCAGGCUGUGUUCUUACACUGACCAUAUAGAAACAGGAGGCAGAGUAAACCCACCACACGUACACCUCAGUCAGGCAGGCCUUUUGCCUGGUCUGUAUUGUGAAUGGGGGGACAUGG
rnacentral:snoRNA from 1 species